GGAGAUGUACCCAAGUGGCUGAAGGGUCCGCACUCGAAAUGCGGUAGGUCGGGCAACCGGCGCGGGAGUUCAAAUCUCCCCAUCUCCG
rnacentral:tRNA from 1 species